rnacentral:rRNA from 1 species
CCGGACCGAGGGGUUGAACGGCCACAUUGGGACUGAGAUACGGCCCAGACUCCUACGGGAGGCAGCAGUGGGGAAUAUUGGGCAAUGGGCGCAAGCCUGACCCAGCAACGCCGCGUGAAGGAAGAAGGCUUUCGGGUUGUAAACUUCUUUUGUCAGGGACGAGUAGAAGACGGUACCUGACGAAUAAGCCACGGCUAACUACGUGCCAGCAGCCGCGGUAAUACGUAGGUGGCAAGCGUUGUCCGGAUUUACUGGGUGUAAAGGGCGUGUAGCCGGGAGGGCAAGUCAGAUGUGAAAUCCACGGGCUCAACUCGUGAACUGCAUUUGAAACUACUCUUCUUGAGUAUCGGAGAGGCAAUCGGAAUUCCUAGUGUAGCGGUGAAAUGCGUAGAUAUUAGGAGGAACACCAGUGGCGAAGGCGGAUUGCUGGACGACAACUGACGGUGAGGCGCGAAAGCGUGGGGAACAAACAGGAUUAGAUACCCUGGUAGUCCACGCUGUAAACGAUGAAUACUAGGUGUGCGGGGACUGACCCCCUGCGUGCCGCAGCUAACGCAAUAAGUAUUCCACCUGGGGAGUACGAUCGCAAGGUUGAAACUCAAAGGAAUUGACGGGGGCCCGCACAAGCGGUGGAUUAUGUGGUUUAAUUCGAAGCAACGCGAAGAACCUUACCAGGGCUUGACAUCCUACUAACGAGAUAGAGAUAUGUUAGGUGCCCUUCGGGGAAAGUAGAGACAGGUGGUGCAUGGUUGUCGUCAGCUCGUGUCGUGAGAUGUUGGGUUAAGUCCCGCAACGAGCGCAACCCCUAUUGUUAGUUGCUACGCAAGAGCACUCUAGCGAGACUGCCGUUGACAAAACGGAGGAAGGUGGGGACGACGUCAAAUCAUCAUGCCCCUUAUGUCCUGGGCUACACACGUAAUACAACGGCGGUCAACAGAGAGAUGCAAAACCGUGAGGUGGAGCGAACCCCUAAAAGCCGUCCCAGUUCAGAUCGUGGGCUGCAACCCGCCCACGUGAAGUCGGAAUCGCUAGUAAUCGCGGAUCAGCAUGCAGCGGUGAAUACGUUCCCGGGCCUUGUACACACCGCCCGUCACACCAUGAGAGUCGGGAACACCCGAAGCCCGUAGCCUAACCUAACGGAGGGCGCGGUCGAAGGUGGGUUCGAUAAUUGGGGUGAAGUCGUAACAAGGUAACCGUACUAGUACGUAAC